rnacentral:rRNA from 1 species
ACUAAGCGUACACGGUGGAUGCCCUGGCAGUCAGAGGCGAUGAAGGACGUGCUAAUCUGCGAUAAGCGUCGGUAAGGUGAUAUGAACCGUUAUAACCGGCGAUUUCCGAAUGGGGAAACCCAGUGUGUUUCGACACACUAUCAUUAACUGAAUCCAUAGGUUAAUGAGGCGAACCGGGGGAACUGAAACAUCUAAGUACCCCGAGGAAAAGAAAUCAACCGAGAUUCCCCCAGUAGCGGCGAGCGAACGGGGAGCAGCCCAGAGCCUGAAUCAGUGUGUGUGUUAGUGGAAGCGUCUGGAAAGGCGUGCGAUACAGGGUGACAGCCCCGUACACAAAAAUGCACAUUUUGUGAGCUCGAUGAGUAGGGCGGGACACGUGGUAUCCUGUCUGAAUAUGGGGGGACCAUCCUCCAAGGCUAAAUACUCCUGACUGACCGAUAGUGAACCAGUACCGUGAGGGAAAGGCGAAAAGAACCCCGGCGAGGGGAGUGAAAAAGAACCUGAAACCGUGUACGUACAAGCAGUGGGAGCACGCUUAGGCGUGUGACUGCGUACCUUUUGUAUAAUGGGUCAGCGACUUAUAUUCUGUAGCAAGGUUAACCGAAUAGGGGAGCCGAAGGGAAACCGAGUCUUAACUGGGCGUUAAGUUGCAGGGUAUAGACCCGAAACCCGGUGAUCUAGCCAUGGGCAGGUUGAAGGUUGGUUAACACUAACUGGAGGACCGAACCGACUAAUGUUGAAAAAUUAGCGGAUGACUUGUGGCUGGGGGUGAAAGGCCAAUCAAACCGGGAGAUAGCUGGUUCUCCCCGAAAGCUAUUUAGGUAGCGCCUCGUGAAUUCAUCUCCGGGGGUAGAGCACUGUUUCGGCAAGGGGGUCAUCCCGACUUACCAACCCGAUGCAAACUGCGAAUACCGGAGAAUGUUAUCACGGGAGACACACGGCGGGUGCUAACGUCCGUCGUGAAGAGGGAAACAACCCAGACCGCCAGCUAAGGUCCCAAAGUCAUGGUUAAGUGGGAAACGAUGUGGGAAGGCCCAGACAGCCAGGAUGUUGGCUUAGAAGCAGCCAUCAUUUAAAGAAAGCGUAAUAGCUCACUGGUCGAGUCGGCCUGCGCGGAAGAUGUAACGGGGCUAAACCAUGCACCGAAGCUGCGGCAGCGACGCUGAUGCGUUGUUGGGUAGGGGAGCGUUCUGUAAGCCUGUGAAGGUGUGCUGUGAGGCAUGCUGGAGGUAUCAGAAGUGCGAAUGCUGACAUAAGUAACGAUAAAGCGGGUGAAAAGCCCGCUCGCCGGAAGACCAAGGGUUCCUGUCCAACGUUAAUCGGGGCAGGGUGAGUCGACCCCUAAGGCGAGGCCGAAAGGCGUAGUCGAUGGGAAACAGGUUAAUAUUCCUGUACUUGGUGUUACUGCGAAGGGGGGACGGAGAAGGCUAUGUUGGCCGGGCGACGGUUGUCCCGGUUUAAGCGUGUAGGCUGGUUUUCCAGGCAAAUCCGGAAAAUCAAGGCUGAGGCGUGAUGACGAGGCACUACGGUGCUGAAGCAACAAAUGCCCUGCUUCCAGGAAAAGCCUCUAAGCAUCAGGUAACAUCAAAUCGUACCCCAAACCGACACAGGUGGUCAGGUAGAGAAUACCAAGGCGCUUGAGAGAACUCGGGUGAAGGAACUAGGCAAAAUGGUGCCGUAACUUCGGGAGAAGGCACGCUGAUAUGUAGGUGAAGUCCCUCGCGGAUGGAGCUGAAAUCAGUCGAAGAUACCAGCUGGCUGCAACUGUUUAUUAAAAACACAGCACUGUGCAAACACGAAAGUGGACGUAUACGGUGUGACGCCUGCCCGGUGCCGGAAGGUUAAUUGAUGGGGUCAGCGCAAGCGAAGCUCUUGAUCGAAGCCCCGGUAAACGGCGGCCGUAACUAUAACGGUCCUAAGGUAGCGAAAUUCCUUGUCGGGUAAGUUCCGACCUGCACGAAUGGCGUAAUGAUGGCCAGGCUGUCUCCACCCGAGACUCAGUGAAAUUGAACUCGCUGUGAAGAUGCAGUGUACCCGCGGCAAGACGGAAAGACCCCGUGAACCUUUACUAUAGCUUGACACUGAACAUUGAGCCUUGAUGUGUAGGAUAGGUGGGAGGCUUUGAAGUGUGGACGCCAGUCUGCAUGGAGCCGACCUUGAAAUACCACCCUUUAAUGUUUGAUGUUCUAACGUGGACCCGUGAUCCGGGUUGCGGACAGUGUCUGGUGGGUAGUUUGACUGGGGCGGUCUCCUCCUAAAGAGUAACGGAGGAGCACGAAGGUUGGCUAAUCCUGGUCGGACAUCAGGAGGUUAGUGCAAUGGCAUAAGCCAGCUUGACUGCGAGCGUGACGGCGCGAGCAGGUGCGAAAGCAGGUCAUAGUGAUCCGGUGGUUCUGAAUGGAAGGGCCAUCGCUCAACGGAUAAAAGGUACUCCGGGGAUAACAGGCUGAUACCGCCCAAGAGUUCAUAUCGACGGCGGUGUUUGGCACCUCGAUGUCGGCUCAUCACAUCCUGGGGCUGAAGUAGGUCCCAAGGGUAUGGCUGUUCGCCAUUUAAAGUGGUACGCGAGCUGGGUUUAGAACGUCGUGAGACAGUUCGGUCCCUAUCUGCCGUGGGCGCUGGAGAACUGAGGGGGGCUGCUCCUAGUACGAGAGGACCGGAGUGGACGCAUCACUGGUGUUCGGGUUGUCAUGCCAAUGGCACUGCCCGGUAGCUAAAUGCGGAAGAGAUAAGUGCUGAAAGCAUCUAAGCACGAAACUUGCCCCGAGAUGAGUUCUCCCUGACUCCUUGAGAGUCCUGAAGGAACGUUGAAGACGACGACGUUGAUAGGCCGGGUGUGUAAGCGCAGCGAUGCGUUGAGCUAACCGGUACUAAUGAACCGUGAGGCUUAACC